rnacentral:rRNA from 1 species
CCUACGGGAGGCAGCAGUAGGGAAUAUUGCUCAAUGGGGGAAACCCUGAAGCAGCAACGCCGCGUGGAGGAUGAAGGUUUUCGGAUUGUAAACUCCUUUUGUUAGAGAAGAUAAUGACGGUAUCUAACGAAUAAGCACCGGCUAACUCCGUGCCAGCCGCCGCGGUAAUACGGAGGGUGCAAGCGUUACUCGGAAUCACUGGGCGUAAAGAGCGCGUAGGCGGGAUAGCAAGUCAGAUGUGAAAUACUAUGGCUUAACCAUAGAACUGCAUUUGAAACUGGUAUGCUAGAGUAUGGGAGAGGUAGGUGGAAUUCUUGGUGUAGGGGUAAAAUGCGUAGAGAUCAAGAGGAAUACUGAUUGCGAAGGCGACCUGCUAGAACAUAACUGACGCUGAUGCGCGAAAGCGUGGGGAGCAAACAGGAUUAGAUACCCUUGUAGUC